GUGUGUGUGUGUGUGUGUGGGUGUGUGUGUGUGUGUGUGUGUGUGGGUGUGUGUGUGGGUGUGUCUUCAGCUCAGAUGACCAUGCUGAUCCUGGUUAGUAAGAUGCACUCAGUGGGUGUGUGUGUGGGUGGGAAGCGUGUCGUGACUUCCCCUGUGUUUGUGUCUGUGUGUGUUUUGCUUUUCCAUGUAAACAGGUGAUAAACACUGCCCUGUUCUCGAUAAGAAUCACUGCCUCCAGCCAAAAAUGUCCCCUCCUUCUGUGUGUGUGUGUGUGUGUGUGUGUGUGUGUGUGCGUGUGCGUGUGCGUGUGCGUGAGGAGAGGAUUGUAAAGAAGGUUCUGGAAGAGCGCUAUGAUAUCACACACACACACACACACACACACACACACACACAGUCCGAUGAUGAAGAAUUAACACCUCACUGUAACACUCACUUUAUGAUUUAUUUUAAUUACACACUUCAUCCCUGUAUUUUAUUUUAAAGGUAUAAUUCAUGAUUUGUAAUGAACUCUGUUCUGUGUAACAACACGUGACGGUCCAAACUGAUGAAUUUGAUCACAUGACUAGGUGGAGUUAUAAUCGUGCAAGUUUCUGUAGCGACACUAAAUUUGUUCCUGAAACAUUUCUAGUUCAGAGUUCUAGUUCUAGUUCGGAGUUGAGGGGGUUCAGUUCUGACAGGGAAACCCUCUUCUACCCUUUCAGGGUACCACUGCGAGGGGCAGCUGAAGAACCCUUAAAGGUUCCAGAUUGAGCUUCACAUUGAUCAAAUAUUCCCAGCAAACAACGGAGGCCGAGUCCACUUCCUGAUGAAUGAUCAAGAGGCUCAGGGGUGAACAUUAGCUGGAAACCGGAUGAUGUUCUGAAAUGUCUAAUGGAUCAUUUGGUUUGUGCCUUUAAAGAUAAGAGACCUGAAAGGUUCUGUGUAGAACAGACGUCCGAGUAACACUUCAGAAUUUCCACACUUCUGAACAGCACACACCGGCUAAAGCAACAUUUCCAAUCCGAAGAACCCUAGAGGAACAAGUGAGUCAAUCCCGAGUGAGGUAUACUGAGUGCGUUAAUCCCGAGUGUGUUAAUCCCGAUUGAUUUUAUCCCGAGUGAGGUUAUCCUGAAUGAUUUUAUCCCGAGUGUGUUUAUCCCGAGUGAGUUAAUCCCGAGUGAGGUUAUCAUGACUGCGUUAAUCCCAAGUGCGUUAAUCCCGAGUUUUUUAGUCCCGAAUGAUUUUAUCCUGAGUGAAUUUAUCCUGAAUGAUUUUAUCCCAAGUGCGUUUAUCCCGAGUAUGUUUAUCUCGAGUGAGUUAAUCCCGAGUCCGUUUAUCCCGAGUCCAUUUAUCCCGACUGUUUUUAUCCCGAGUGAGUUACUCCCGAGUCCAUUUAUCCCGAGUACGUUUCUUCCGACUGUGUUUAUCCCGAGUGAGUUAAUCCUGACUUUUUUAAUCCCGAGUGCGUUUAUCCCAAGUGAUUUUAUCCCGAGUACGUCUAUCCUGACUGUGUUUAUCCCGAGUGAGUUAAUCCCGAGUGAGUUAAUCCUAAAUGAGUUAAUCCCGAGUGUGUUCAUCCUGAAGAAGCUGUUGGACGUUCACGCUGAGGAUGAAAUUCUUCCUCAGAUGAAUAGCACAGUCCGGGAUGGUAUCUGCCAUUCUAUAAACCAACCAGCAACUGACUUCAAUUAUGACCUCACUGGUCCCUCCAUCUUUCUCUGUCUGUCUCCAUUUUCCUGUCAUCUCUCUCCCUCUCCCUCUCUCUCCUCCAUGCCCACACAGUGUUAAUCUUCCCGUUUCCCAGCAGGCCUUCAUUCGUCUCCAGUCCUGAGGAGAAUUUGAUUAAAUGGAAUACACAUUGCCGCCAGGAGCCGAGCGCAUGCGUUGGAAUCAUUAUAAUAAAUUGAAAAGGGAUCGAAUAUUCUCAGCGCUGUUUCCCAGAAUGCAACACUCGUCAGUGUUUAAUGCGGCGGCUCUUUAGCCCUGUCUGAGAAUCAAUACGGAGGAGUUGUUAUACGCGCUAACCUCCCCGCUAGCUCAUCCGCAUGAGCGCCAUGCUAAUCUCAUUAGCUUUUAUAUUACCGAACCCUGCAGGAUCCAGGCAGUCACAGCGCAUUUUACAGCGCUCUCUCUCUCUCUCUCUCUCUCACACCCACACAAACACACUUGUGGACAUGGGGAGAGAUGUGUGUGUGUGUGUGUGUGUGUGUGUGUGUGUGUGUGUGUGUGUGUGUGUGUGUGUGUGA
ensembl:lncRNA